UCGAGAAUCUUCCGCAAUGGGCGCAAGCCUGACGGAGCGACGCCGCGUGUAGGACGAAGGCCCUUGGGUUGUAAACUACUGUCACGGGUUAUGAAGGCGCGUAUGCUAACAGUAUGCGUGUUGACGUAAGCUCGAGAGGAAGCGCCGGCUAAUUCUGUGCCAGCAGCCGCGGUAAUACAGAAGGCGCAAACGUUGUUCGGAAUCACUGGGCAUAAAGCGUGCGUAGGCGGCUAUGUAAGUGUGGGGUGAAAGCCCACGGCUCACCCGUGGAAUUGCUUCGCAUACUGCAUAGCUAGAGGACGGUAGGGGAGAGCGGAACUCCUGGAGGAGCGGUGAAAUGCGUAGAUAUCAGGAGGAACACCAGUGGCGAAGGCGGCUCUCUGGUCCGUUUCUGACGCUGAGGCACGAAAGCUAGGGUAGCGAACGGGAUUAGAUACCCCCGUAGUCC
rnacentral:rRNA from 1 species